rnacentral:rRNA from 1 species
UGGAGGGAGCCGCCGAAGGAGUGAAUGGUGACUGGGGUGAAGUCGUAACAAGGUAGCCGUAGGGGAACCUGCGGCUGGAUCACCUCCUUUUACGGAG